rnacentral:rRNA from 1 species
AUAAACGCUGGCGGCGCACAUAAGACAUGCAAGUCGAACGGAAGUCGUUAUAAUUGAUUGGAGUGAAAGAUUAUCCGGAACGAAGAAGAUUUAUAACAAUGGCUUUAGUGGCGGACUGGUGAGUAACACGUAAGCAACCUGCCUAUUAGAGGGGAAUAACAGUGAGAAAUCAUUGCUAAUACCGCAUACUCCAUUUUCAUCACAUGAUUUAAAUGGGAAAGGAGCAAUCCGCUAAUAGAUGGGCUUGCGUCUGAUUAGAUAGUUGGUGGGGUAACGGCCUACCAAGUCAACGAUCAGUAGCCGGACUGAGAGGUUCAACGGCCACAUUGGGACUGAGAUACGGCCCAGACUCCUACGGGAGGCAGCAGUCGGGAAUAUUGCGCAAUGGAGGAAACUCUGAACCGCAGUGACGCCGCGUAUAGGAUGAAGGUUUUCGGAUUGUAAACUAUUGUCUGCAGGGAAGAAAUUUGACUGUACCUGCAAAGAAAGCUCCGGCUAACUACGUGCCAGCCGCCGC